UAACGAUCAGGGUGAGCUUAUGAGAGCCUUUGUGGCCCUGCAAAGGGUAUCCGCCGCGACUAUAAAAAAAGAAUGUGGGUAUUAAAUCGCAAGUCAGCUCCGGCUGGCCACACUUUCGAAUUGCGGGGACUCCCUAAAGCUCUAUUCUACCAACCGUACGGGGAAACUCGAACGGGGCCUUUGUUAACAGCAUUGGGUACGGUAACAACGAAGAGAGAUGUGCUGAGCUGCGCUUUGCAGCCGGCCAAUGGGUGAUCCGCAGCCAAGUCCCUAACGUGCCCCGCGGCACCAGGGGAAAGGUUCACAGACUAAGUGGAAGUGGGUUGAACGGAAAAACCGUUCAGCUUAAGAUAUAGUCGGGCCUCGGUUGAAAAACCUGGGAAGUCACUGUUCCGUAGGUGAACCUGCGGAAGGAUCAUUA
rnacentral:ncRNA from 1 species